UGCACCAACCUGGUUCACAUCCAAGACAACGUAACGGCAUAGAGAUACCGAUAUGAAAUUUUGCAGUCACACGUCGUUCCAGUUAUGAAUAACGCGACAGUGUAAGACCACACACAGCUAGACUAACAACAGCAUACCUACACAACAACAACAUUCAGGUCCUGCCUUGGCCUGCUAGAUCUCCAGAUUUUAACCCCACAGAACAUUUAUGGGAUAUGUUGGAUAGACGACUGAGACAGCAUCAACCACAGUCACAUAAACUUCCACAGUUGGCACUGACAAUACAGAAACAAUGCAGUGGAACUUCGAAUUUUCUAUGAUGAGAUGAUGAUUCAAACUGUGGAACAGGCGCCUGUAUACAAAACAGCAACAAUAGUUGCAAACCUCGGCGGUCAGAUGGGCAUUUGUCUUGGAGCCAGCAUCCUGACAUUAACAGAGCUGGGCGAAUUUUUCGUCUUUUUAUUUUAUUACAUUUUUCACCGUUUGAAACCCAUUAACGAUGUGAAAAAU